AUUCUAGCCCUAACAGCGCUAUACUAAAGUAUUAAAAGCUAUGGUCUCUAAAUUUAAAGGAUUUGGCGGUGAUUUAAUCCCAUUAGAGGAACCUGUUAAGUAAACGAUAAACCACGCAAUAUCUUACCUGUUUUCAGUUUGUAUACCGUCAUUAUUAGAUAACUUUUCAAGAACAAGUUAUUACAAUAAGAAUUUUUAGUAUAUUAGAUCAAGGUGCAGCUUAUAAGCAGGAAAAUAAUGGGUUACAAUAAGACUUACUUAAACGAACAUAAAAUUAAAAUAUUUUAUUGAAGGAGGAUUUAAUAGUAAAUUCAGUUUAACAAGCUGGCUUGACAAUGGACCUAAAUCGUGUACAUAUCGCCCGUCACUUGCAUUCCCAAAUGAAAUAAGUCGUAACAUAG
rnacentral:rRNA from 1 species